rnacentral:rRNA from 1 species
AACGAACGCUGGCGGCAGGCCUCAUACAUGCAAGUCUAACGGGUGUAGCAAUACAUCAGUGGCGCACGGGUGAGUAACGCGUGGGAAUAUGCCCUUGACUACGGAACAACCUCGGGAAACUGAGGCUAAUACCGUAUAAUGUCUCCGGACCAAAGAUUUAUCGGUCAAGGAUUAGCCCGCGUCUGAUUAGGUAGUUGGUGAGGUAACGGCUCACCAAGCCUACGAUCAGUAGCUGGACUGAGAGGAUGAUCAGCCACACUGGGACUGAGACACGGCCCAGACUCCUACGGGAGGCAGCAGUAAGGAAUAUUGGACAAUGGGGGAAACCCUGAUCCAGCCAUGCCGCGUGAGUGAAGAAGGCCUUCGGGUUGUAAAGCUCUUUUACCCCUGACGAUAAUGACGGUAAGGGGAGAAAAAGCCACGGCUAACUUCGUGCCAGCCGCCGCGGUAA